GGCUCGGUGGCACAGUGGUGCAGUGCAUCCGCCAGAUGUGGACAGUUUUCCUGGAGAUACAAUAUCUGCGGAAGGUGCCCGUUCGACUCGGGCCCGGGCCA